UGGGAGAAGAGCUGUUGUGUCACUUCCUCAGGCAGACAUAUUUACUAGAGCGUGCAAUCCAAAACCUUCCGGUAAGAGAGGCAGCAGAAGGGAGGGUCUCACCUGACUUUGGGAACUGUGUG
rnacentral:miRNA from 1 species